AUUGAACGCUGGCGGCAGGCCUAACACAUGCAAGUCGAGCGGAUGAAGGGAGCUUGCUCCUGGAUUCAGCGGCGGACGGGUGAGUAAUGCCUAGGAAUCUGCCUGGUAGUGGGGGAUAACGUCCGGAAACGGGCGCUAAUACCGCAUACGUCCUGAGCGAGAAAGUGGGGGAUCUUCGGACAUCACGCUAUCAGAUGAGCCUAGGUCGGAUUAGCUAGUUGGUGGGGUAAAGGCCUACCAAGACGACGAUCCGUAACUGGUCUGAGAGGAUGAUCAGUCACAUUGGAACUGAGACACGGUCCAGACUCCUAAGGGAGGCAGCAGUGGGGAAUAUUGGACAAUGGGCGAAAGCCUGAUCCAGCCAUGCCGCGUGUGUGAAGAAGGUCUUCGGAGUGUAAAGCACUUUAAGUUGGGAGGAAGGGCAGUAAGUUGAUACCUUGCUGUAUUGACGUUACCAACAGAAUAAGCACCGGCUAACUUCGUG
rnacentral:rRNA from 1 species